UUACAGCCAUACCAUGUUGAAACACCAGUUCUCGUAUGAUCACUGAAGUUAAACAGCAUCAAGUCUAGUCAAUACCCGGAUGGGUGACCACUUGGAAAUACUAAGUGC